rnacentral:misc_RNA from 1 species
UAACAGUAAACAUAUUGGCAUUAUAUAUGCCAUGCGUAUUGCUUAACCCUACAAUCCCAGGCAGUAUUCCAUAGAGCAUACAAAAAUUUAUUAGUAGUUUCCCAAUCUCAAAGCAUUCGUUUUUCUUGCUACAAUGGUGACAACGAUGGCUACCAGAGUUGAGAGCUUGUCAAGCAGUGGGAUUAAUUCAAUCCCGAAAGAGUACGUGCGCCCACAAGAAGAAUUGACAAGCAUCGGCAAUGUCUUCGAAGAGGAGAAGAAAGAGGAA